UUGAACAAUGCUCGAGAGAACGAGUGAUCGUCGCCGAAGGAGCAAGCCGUACAGGUGAAUCUCUCAGGCAAAAGUACAGCAUUGGGACG
rfam:Salinicoccus halodurans strain H3B36, complete genome.